UUCCAAGUAUAGUGAAAGGGAUGAAAUUUCAUCAUACCCCCCUUUCUAUCAUCUGAGGGAAUGACAAGGAAGCGAGAGAACUCAGCAAUCUUAGAAUACUCAGGCUCUGCUCUUUCUCCUAAAGGAGUGUUAUAUCCAUGUAACAGAGUUCAUCUCUUUUUCUGGCAGGAGGUUCACUUGUUUCUUCUCAGGAGUGGUUUCAUUAUAUCUCAGAAAAAGAAACUAGGCAAACAGGAGAGAGCUUAGCACCACUAAGUUCAAGAGGACAGAGUGGGCAAGAGGCAGAAGCAGAAGAUGGGAAGGAAAUGGACUUCUCCACAAAAACUUAGUGGGUCCCAUGAGAAGAAGAGUCACUGAUAGCCACUGUUGUUUUGAGAAGAAAAAAGGUUCCUGGGGAAAA